AUGCUGGGGACUGGAUUCAAUCAGAAUGCUUCCGUUGUUUACCUUCCACAUUGGUGGCUUGUAACAUUAUCUCAAGGAUUGAAUCUGGUCCUUGCCAGCUUCGCUUUCAGCACCAGGCCUCUAUUUCUUGGAGCAGCGUUUGUUAGAUUUUGGCCGGUCCUGCUGACCAUCUGCGCAGCAUUCAUCUGUUGUUCUUCGGUUGUUAAUAUUGUUGCAGAGAAGACGAUCACCAUUAAGGCUUGUUCAGAUGUUCUGUCCCUACCAGGUGCAGUUCUCCUCCUCCUUUAUGGCAUUCAGCACAGCCAUGAUGAAGAGGGUUAUGGAGGAAGUGGAAAUGGUUUGUACAAGCCCCUGCACACGGAGACAGACAGUGAGAUGGGAUAUGAAAAGCCCCUUGAGGACAAAGACAUGCCACUUUUAGGCGCCACAGAUCGAGCGCGCAACCUGUACGUGAUGUUCAUGGAGAAGCUCAAUGACAAGAAGCAGUCGCCGCCGCACCCCACACCAUCAUUCUUCUGGACUAUUGUUUCUUGCCACAAGCGUGCCAUCUUGGUCUCGGGUUUCUUUGCUUUGCUCAAGGUUUUGUCCUUAUCCACGGCCCGAUACUUCUCAAGGAAUUCAUCAAUGUUUCACUUGGGAAAGGGGCCUUUAAAUAUGAAGGAUAUGUACUUGCCGUGGUAA
rnacentral:rRNA from 1 species